UACAGACACCAACAAUGCUCCAUAACACAUCAGUCAUCCUGUGGUGUAAAAUCUCACGGUAUUUCCCAGAUGAUCUGACAGUGAAAUGGCUGAGAAGAGAAGAAGGAAGCCAGGAAUUAACUGUAGUGACUAACAGAUCUUAUAUAAAGUCACACAGAGAUCAGGAUAACACCUACAGCUGCACAACCAGCCUGACUGUCACCCCAACACUAAGUACAGACCAAGGGGCAGAAUAUAUCUGCUGGGUGCAACAUCCUACACUGGUGCAGCCAAUAGAGAGAAGCACAGGGAAACUAACUGCAAUGGUAAAACCUCAGAUUUUAGAGCCUGUAAAACCAAUUCUCUGUGACUCUGGGGAGAUUCUGUAUCGCUUGAAGCUACAGAGGUUUUAUCCUAAAGCUAUAAACAUCAUCUGGACAAGUGGAGCUGGAGAUUUACAUAAAACAAAAUCAACUGAAAUAUUUACACAAAACCCUGAUACAACGUUUAAUGUUUGUUCUGAAGUCAGAAUUCCAGGAGAUCACUUCAGAGAAAAAUCAUUUUCUGUGCAUGUGACUUGGGAACAUAAAUCCCUGGAUAAACCUGAGACCAAGAAACUAAGUACAAAAUAUUCAGAUUUCACCUGUCAACCAAUAGUGGGGGAAAUAAAGACACCAAUAAUGCUCCAUAACACAUCAAUCAUCCUGUGGUGUAACAUCUCACGGUAUCGCCCAGAUGAUCUGACAGUGAAAUGGCUGAGAAGAGAAGAAGGAAGCCAGGAAUUAACUGAAGUGACUGACAGACCUGAUAUAAAGUCACACAGAGAUCAGGGUAACACCUACAGCUGCACAACCAGCCUGAUUGUCACCCCAACACUAAGUACAGACCAAGGGGCAGAAUAUAUCUGCUGGGUGCAACAUCCUACACUGGUGAAGCCAAUAGAGAGAAGCACAGGGAAGCUUAUUGUACUGGCAAAACCGCAGCUCAUGGAGACCAUAGAGACAGUUACUGAGUCUUCUCAUGUUACCUUUCUGGCAAAACUGCAAAGGUUUCACCCUAAGGAAAUUGAGAUCAUUUGGAAGUUUAGAGAUGAAUUACAAAAUGAGAAGAAAGUCCAAAACAAACUAACACUGAAUUCUGAUCAGACGUUUGAUGCUACAAGCGAGUGUCGCUGUCCUAAAUAUCUCUUAAAUAAACCAUCAUAUCAAAUUGCUGUGACUUGGAAUCAUGUGACCAUGAAAAUUCCUCAAACAAGAAUAUUUGAUAUCAACGGUUUAUUUCACACGUCCACAUAAAAAAUAUAAUUGCAUCAAGACUAGAAUGAAAGACCACACUGUAUUGUAAAACUUCCAAACCUUUACCAGCUAAACUGACUGUUGAUUGGUUAAUAACGAAGACAGGAAGUAUUAUGGCGCCUGCAUUGUCUGUUAUCAAUUUUCACUCAGCGAGACACAAUAAUGUGAGGAUAAGACACAAUCCUGUGAGAAUAAGACACAAUCCUGUGAAUCUUAUGAGACAUUUACCCCAAAACCAAACAAACCACAAAUUGUUGAAUUUAUAAUACGUGGUUAUAACUUCAUUAAGGAUGAAACAAAGUCUUAAACUGGAUUAAGUUUAGAAAAGCUACAAAAGACUAUUUUAGAGAAAAAACUUGUGAUCUUACAGCAAGAGAACCAACAACAUGAACUGAUACAGACGUCAUGCGGAUUCAGGAACAACUCAACUCUCUAAAAUGAAAAAGAUCUAUAAUUCAAACUUGUUCUAUUCUAUUAAAUGUAUUUAGUCUGAUGACCAACUACAUAAUGUAUUUCUCACUGGAGAACUCUGUAAAUGCCUUAUACAUGCAGAGGAUACAAAGGUUACUAAUACAGUGCACUGGGUCAGGCCUGGGGCUUAGUGUAUUUAAUUUAAAAAGAUGUAGUCAUUGUGAUUGGAUCAUGUGUUUUACACUUUUGCUUUAAUACUAUUCUGCUCUGCUUUGGUAAGGUUUGUGCACUCUGUAAUAAUUAAUUGUAUCAGAUUACAAAGUAUCUAUAUAUCACUAAUGCACAUUCCAUCACUUAGAGUUAAAACCAAGCUUCACAGACUAUCACAUUAACUAAUUUGACAAUAGUGCACUUGAAAUGAACUGUAUUUAUCACCAUUGAUAUUGCUGGUGGCUUUAAGGGUUUGUAUGAUGUUGUGGCCAAUGAGAUUCAAAGCUGUAACAGAGAUGAUAUUAUUGUACUCAUGAAAGAAAUCACAAGGGAUAUUACAGGAAUGGAUAAGUGAGUAUGACCUAAAAUGUAAUACUACAAAGUAAGUUGUAUGAAUUAAGGAUAAAAAAAACUAAAUUAUAAAACAUAAGAAUGAUCCCUUUUGAUUGUUAUUUACCUUCAACCAAUAAUAUGAAGGGGUGAACUCAAAAGUGUUUCCUGAUUGGCAGUUUAAUUUAUUUAAAUAGUGAUGUUAUUUAGCAUUUUAUACUGAUUUUGACAAUCUUUAAAAAAAAAAAAGGCUCAGUUUUGGUGCUAAAAUGCUUUGCAGAUACUGAUUCAUUCUGGCAAUGUUUUUGAGGAACCAUUUGCUUAUAUACACUCCCACCUGAUGCCGAGGUAUUUGAAUACUUGAUUACGUUUCCUCAUAUUUUUAUAAUUAAGUU